rnacentral:rRNA from 1 species
UACGUAGGGUGCGAGCGUUUGUCCGGAAUUAUUGGGCGUAAAGGGCUCGUAGGCGGUUUGUCGCGUCUGCUGUGAAAUCUCAAGGCUCAACCUUGAGCUUGCAGUGGGGUACGGGCAGACUAGAGGUGUGGUAGGGGAGACUGGAAUUCCGUGGUGAUAGCGGUGAAAUGCGACAGAUAUCAGGAGGAACACCGAGUGGCGAAGGCGGGUCUCUGGGC